rnacentral:rRNA from 1 species
AUACGUAGGGGGCGAGCGUUGUCCGGAAUGAUUGGGCGUAAAGGGCGCGUAGGCGGCCCGGUAAGUCUGGAGUGAAAGUCCUGUUUUUAAGAUGGGAAUUGCUUUGGAUACUGUCGGGCUUGAGUGCAGGCGAGGGAAGUGGAAUUCCCAGUGUAGCGGUGAAAUGCGUAGAGAUUGGGAGGAAUACCAGUGGCGAAGGCGACUUACUGGACUGUAACUGACGCUGAGGCGCGAAAGUGUGGGGAGCAAACAGGAUUAGAUACCCUGGUAGUCCACACUGUAAACGAUGAAUGCUAGGUGUAGGGGGUAUCGACCCCUUCUGUGCCGCAGUCAACACAAUAAGCAUUCCGCCUGGGGAGUACGGCCGCAAGGUUGAAACUUAAAGGAAUUGACGGGG